UACGUAGGGGGCAAGCGUUGUCCGGAAUCAUUGGGCGUAAAGAGCGUGUAGGCGGCCCGAUAAGUCCGCUGUGAAAGUCCAGGGCUCAACCCUGGGAUGCCGGUGGAUACUGUCGGGCUCGAGUCCGGAAGAGGCGAGUGGAAUUCCUGGUGUAGCGGUGAAAUGACGUAGAUAUCGAGAGGAACACCUGCGGCGAAGGCGGGUUGCUGGGCUGAUACUGACGCUGAGGCGCGAAAGCCAGGGGAGCGAACGGG
rnacentral:rRNA from 1 species